rnacentral:tRNA from 1 species
GGGAGCAUAGCUCAGUCGGUUUAGAGCAUCUGCCUUACAAGCAGAGGGUCGGCGGUUCGAAUCCGUCUGCUCCCA